ACCAGCCAGCCAGAACAACAAACCCCUUCUUCCGCAGCUGAAGAACGUCUCACUAGAGGGCGCAUGACUAGAAGUAAUUCGGCAGCGAAUUCGGGUGCUGUUUAUACUACAGCAAAGCAACUGAAGGAAAUUGCGGCUAGGAAAAGAUAUGCAUUGUCCAAAAAGAAUACACAGGAGGAAUCUUGAGUUUGAGAAGGAGCAUGCGAAUGGUGGGACGAUGGCCAACAUACAUAUCAAGGGAACCUUCCCUGCUAUAGUAGACAUUAGUCUUUUGAAACAGUUGUCUGUGCUUCAAACAGUUGUCUGUGCUUGACACAUUAUUAUGUGUUAAGCUAUCUACUUGUGUUCUCAUUUACUUUGACACUCGGUGUGUUUCGUUGAAGAUUUUGUAUGAACAAAUUAUAUUUCGUUUUAAUGGAUGUCGAUGCUUCAUUCAUUA